GAGUUUGAUCGUGGCUCAGAUUGAACGCUGGCGGCAGGCCUAACACAUGCAAGUCGAGCGGGUAGAGAGAAGCUUGCUUCUCUUGAGAGCGGCGGACGGGUGAGUAAUGCCUAGGAAUCGUGCCUGGUAGUGGGGGAUAACGCUCGGAAACGGACGCUAAUACCGCAUACGUCCUACGGGAGAAAGCAGGGGUACCUUACGGGCCUUGCGCUAUCAGGAUGAGCCUAGGUCGGAUUAGCUAGUUGGUGAGGUAAUGGCUCACCAAGGCGACGAGUCCGUAACUGGUCUGAGACGGAUGAUCAGUCACACUGGAACUGAGACACGGUCCAGACU
rnacentral:rRNA from 1 species